AUGGACGCGCUAGGAGGCAAGAAAACGAGAGCUGAGGGGUGGGGGUGGGGUGCAAAACCACACGCCGGCGCCCCAAAAGACUAUCACCAUCUCGUAUUUCCUCCUCGCGUUGCGUCCAUUUGGAAGCAAGGAAGGAAAGCCGGUGGGAAGCUCCGGGCGGGCAGCAUUAAGUCACCACAUGUUACAAUUAGUGCCGCUUCCAGCUUAGUUAAUCCCCUUGGUUUAUAUAUCCAUCUCUCUCCCCUCCCUCCCUCCAUCGCCUCCUCAUCUCCACCUCCCUCCACCUCUGCUGGCUCCGCGGCCCAUCCCAUCCGAUCCCAUCGCCGCGCCGCCAGCUCCAGAUCCGCCCCCGCGCCCGCCGCCGAGCUCCACACGCGGGGAAGGGGUGAGGAGUCAGCUGCCUGCCAUUUCAUCAGGCCCUGGUGUGGUGUAGCAGCGGCCUUCGCACCCAAACAACCAGAGCUUUUAGAUGAUCCAAAGAUGGUGAGGAGCUGA
rnacentral:rRNA from 1 species